GGGAAUUUUUCCGCAAUGGGCGAAAGCCUGACGGAGCAAUACCGCGUGAGGGAGGAAGGCUCUUGGGUUGUAAACCUCUUUUCUCAGGGAAGAAAAAAAUGACGGUACCUGAGGAAUAAGCAUCGGCUAACUCCGUGCCAGCAGCCGCGGUAAUACGGAGGAUGCAAGCGUUAUCCGGAAUGAUUGGGCGUAAAGGGUCCGCAGGUGGCAUUGUAAGUCUGCUGUUAAAGAGUUUGGCUCAACCAAAUAAAAGCAGUGGAAACUACAAAGCUAGAGUUUGGUCGGGGCAGAGGGAAUUCCUGGUGUAGCGGUGAAAUGCGUAGAUAUCAGGAAGAAC
rnacentral:rRNA from 1 species